rnacentral:rRNA from 1 species
AGUGAACGCUGGCGGUAGGCCUAACACAUGCAAGUCGAACGGCAGCACAGAGGAGCUUGCUCCUUGGGUGGCGAGUAGCGGACGGGUGAGGAAUACAUCGGAAUCUACUCUGUCGUGGGGGAUAACGUAGGGAAACUUACGCUAAUACCGCAUACGACCUACGGGUGAAAGCAGGGGAUCUUCGGACCUUGCGCGAUUGAAUGAGCCGAUGUCGGAUUAGCUAGUUGGCGGGGUAAAGGCCCACCAAGGCGACGAUCCGUAGCUGGUCUGAGAGGAUGAUCAGCCACACUGGAACUGAGACACGGUCCAGACUCCUACGGGAGGCAGCAGUGGGGAAUAUUGGACAAUGGGCGCAAGCCUGAUCCAGCCAUACCGCGUGGGUGAAGAAGGCCUUCGGGUUGUAAAGCCCCUUUGUUGGGAAAGAAAUCCAUCUGGUUAAUACCCGGGUGGGAUGACGGUACCCAAAGAAUAAGCACCGGCUAACUUCGUGCCAGCAGCCGCCGUAA